GUCNAGCGANGCAUCACUUCGGUGGUGACGGAGCGGCGAACGGGUGAGUAACANNNNNNNAACCUGCCCUCAGCUCUGGGACAACUCCGGGAAACCGGGGCUAAUACCGGAUACGACCUUGGACGACAUCGUUCUUGGUGGAAAGUUUUUCGGCUGGGGAUGGGCCCGCGGCCUAUCAGCUUGUUGGUGGGGUAAUGGCCUACCAAGGCGACGACGGGUAGCCGGCCUGAGAGGGCGACCGGCCACACUGGGACUGAGACACGGCCCAGACUCCUACGGGAGGCAGCAGUGGGGAAUAUUGCGCAAUGGGCGAAAGCCUGACGCAGCGACGCCGCGUGGGGGAUGAAGGCCUUCGGGUUGUAAACCUCUUUCAGCAGGGACGAAGCGAGAGUGACGGUACCUGCAGAAGAAGCACCGGCCAACUACGUGCCAGCAGCCGCGGUAAUACGUAGGGUGCAAGCGUUGUCCGGAAUUAUUGGGCGUAAAGAGCUCGUAGGCGGUUUGUCGCGUCGGCUGUGAAAUCUCGGGGCUCAACCCCGAGCCUGCAGUCGAUACGGGCAGACUAGAGUGCUGUAGGGGAGACUGGAAUUCCUGGUGUAGCGGUGAAAUGCGCAGAUAUCAGGAGGAACACCGGUGGCGAAGGCGGGUCUCUGGGCAGUAACUGACGCUGAGGAGCGAAAGCGUGGGGAGCGAACAGGAUUAGAUACCCUGGUAGUCCACGCCGUAAACGGUGGGUGCUAGGUGUAGGUCNNAUUCCACGCGAUCUGUGCCGCAGCUAACGCAUUAAGCACCCCGCCUGGGGGAGUACGGCCGCAAGGCUAAAACUCAAGGAAUUGACGGGGGCCCGCACAAGCAGCGGAGCAUGUGGCUUAAUUCGACGCNACGCGAAGAACCUUACCNANGGCUUGACAUGCAGGGAAAUCCUCCAGAGAUGGGGGGUCCGCAAG
rnacentral:rRNA from 1 species